GUAGGGAAAAUGCCUACUGCCCACUGCCCACUCCCCGCUCACAGGUAAGGGUGCAAAGGUGCGGUAAGAGCGCACCAGCAGCAUCGAGAGGUGCUGGCUCGGUAAACCCCGGUUGGGAGCAAGGUAUGAAAGGAACUACGGUUGGUCUUUUACCAGUUCCUGCUCACGAAACCGCUUGAGGCGUCUGGUAACAGGCGUCCCAGAUAGAUAACUGCCCUCCUAGUAGCGUUAAGCUGCUGUGGAGAACAGAACCCGGCUUACGUCCGACUCUUUCC
rnacentral:RNase_P_RNA from 1 species